CUCGCUUGAAAUGAAUUAGCAGAUCCUUUUUGUAAUCGGUUCCACUCGACGUGAUAAGUAUUUCGCCGAGGACAUACGAAAGUAUGGCCGAGAUAAAGAAAGUCUUUAGAUCCGCUUCUAAUUCUUAGAUAGAGCUUGCUCUACUAAACCCCAUUUUAUGAUCUGGCCUCAAAUCAGGUAGGACUACCCGCUGAACUUAA
rnacentral:misc_RNA from 1 species